rnacentral:lncRNA from 1 species
AGCUCGGUUAGGAUUGUAAUAGUGGUUUGUCUUGUGUUUUUGAGUUAGUAGAAGUUAUUGUAUCAUUGAGGUCGAAUUUAGGAGGUUUUAAAAGUUGGAAUACUUCGAGUUGUGGAGUAUUUUCGGCUCUUUGUUGACUAGGAACCGUGUGUUUGAUUACCGAUAGUCUUGGUUCAAAUCCAAAAGCACCUCGGUGUUACUGUUAAUCCAUGUUCUUCAAGGUAAUAUGUGGUGAUUAACAGUUUGUACUUGAUUGAAUCUCGGAGUCGAAUCAGAGUCUAUUUGUGUAAUUUGUGGUCUCAGUUAUGUGGUCGAAUUUAGGGUUUAAGAAACGUCUCAGCUCGGAUUGCGUAGGAUUUAACUUAGUGUUCUUAGAUAGUAUCAGAUCGUGUCGUUAAUAUGUUGGGUUAAAGUUUAUUGUGGUUGUAAUCCCAUUCACCUUGUUAACAAGUUGUUGUUUGAGCACAAAAAAUCACAGUAAAAUAGAAUUUUGGAGUUGAGUUAUAUAAAUGACAUUAAACCCACAAAAGG